CUUGCACCUGAUUGAUUUUGGUCGCCAACGAGUGGCGGACGGGUGAGUAACACGUAGGUAACCUGCCCAGAAGCGGGGGACAACAUUUGGAAACAGAUGCUAAUACCGCAUAACAACGUUGUUCGCAUGAACAACGCUUAAAAGAUGGCUUCUCGCUAUCACUUCUGGAUGGACCUGCGGUGCAUUAGCUUGUUGGUGGGGUAACGGCCUACCAAGGCGAUGAUGCAUAGCCGAGUUGAGAGACUGAUCGGCCACAAUGGGACUGAGACACGGCCCAUACUCCUACGGGAGGCAGCAGUAGGGAAUCUUCCACAAUGGGCGCAAGCCUGAUGGAGCAACACCGCGUGAGUGAAGAAGGGUUUCGGCUCGUAAAGCUCUGUUGUUAAAGAAGAACACGUAUGAGAGUAACUGUUCAUACGUUGACGGUAUUUAACCAGAAAGUCACGGCUAACUACGUGCCAGCAGCCGCGGUAAUACGUAGGUGGCAAGCGUUAUCCGGAUUUAUUGGGCGUAAAGAGAGUGCAGGCGGUUUUCUAAGUCUGAUGUGAAAGCCUUCGGCUUAACCGGAGAAGUGCAUCGGAAACUGGAUAACUUGAGUGCAGAAGAGGGUAGUGGAACUCCAUGUGUAGCGGUGGAAUGCGUAGAUAUAUGGAAGAACACCAGUGGCGAAGGCGGCUACCUGGUCUGCAACUGACGCUGAGACUCGAAAGCAUGGGUAGCGAACAGGAUUAGAUACCCUGGUAGUCCAUGCCGUAAACGAUGAGUGCUAGGUGUUGGAGGGUUUCCGCCCUUCAGUGCCGGAGCUAACGCAUUAAGCACUCCGCCUGGGGAGUACGACCGCAAGGUUGAAACUCAAAGGAAUUGACGGGGGCCCGCACAAGCGGUGGAGCAUGUGGUUUAAUUCGAAGCUACGCGAAGAACCUUACCAGGUCUUGACAUCUUGCGCCAACCCUAGAGAUAGGGCGUUUCCUUCGGGAACGCAAUGACAGGUGGUGCAUGGUCGUCGUCAGCUCGUGUCGUGAGAUGUUGGGUUAAGUCCCGCAACGAGCGCAACCCUUGUUACUAGUUGCCAGCAUUAAGUUGGGCACUCU
rnacentral:rRNA from 1 species